CCUACGGGAGGCAGCAGUGAGGAAUAUUGGUCAAUGGGCGGAAGCCUGAACCAGCCAAGUCGCGUGAGGGAUGAAGGUUCUAUGGAUGGUAAACCUCUUUUAUAAGGGAAUAAAGUGUGGGACGUGUACUGUUUUGUAUGUACCUUAUGAAUAAGGAACGGCUAACUCCGUGCCAGCAGCCGCGGUAAUACGGAGGCUCCGAGCGUUAUCCGGAUUUAUUGGGUUUAAAGGGUGCGUAGGCGGCCUUGUAAGUCAGCGGUGAAAGCCUGUGGCUCAACCAUGGAAUUGCCGUUGAAACUGGGAGGCUUGAGUAUGUUUGAGGCAGGCGGAAUGCGUGGUGUAGCGGUGAAAUGCUUAGAUAUCACGCGGAACCCCGAUUGCGAAGGCAGCCUGC
rnacentral:rRNA from 1 species